rnacentral:siRNA from 1 species
CGUCCCUGCCCUUUGUACACAC